AUCAAACGGAAAAAAAAACAAACAAACAGUGAAAGUUGACUGCUGCAAGCAAAGAGAGAACACAAGAAGCGAAUUCUUUCUCCUAAUGCCUUUCCACCUUCACCAGAAGUUGCUUCAUCUAUCUUUUUGAAGGUUUUGGGGUUGAAUUGAAGCGUUUGGAUCAAUAUAUCGUUGUUUAAUGUUGCAUUUUGUUUCGCUUCUUGCGUAAUGAGUUUCGUUUUUCUGAGAAGCAACCGAUAAAAUUUUCGCACGUUUGGCCCAAAAUCUUGCGCAAAGGAGGUAGAUUUUCCAAAAUUCCUGUCGCACAUGGAAGAAUCAGACAAAUUACAAUCAGAAGAGAAUAAAAUCUCUAUGGAGAAACAUAAGAAGAGAAAACUCAAAACACCUACUCAGGUUUAUGCUUUGGAGAAAUUUUAUAUCGAGCACAAAUAUCCCACUGAGGAAAUGAAAUUAGAACUUGCUGAGGAGUUGGGCUUGACAGAAAAACAAGUAUCUGGAUGGUUUUGCCAUCGAAGGCUAAAAGAUAAAAGAUUGUUGAAAGAUGAAGCUUGUGCUAAUGGGCGACAAGAUAUUUUAAGUGGAGUCAUCCAAGAUCAUGUCAGUGGGCUAGGGCAAGAUUCAUGUGGAAGCACCAAACAUGGUGAUUAUAGGCAUCUUGAUCCCAAAGAGGUUGAAAGUCAUGGCCUUCAUGUGGGUCAUGACCUUUUAGUUUCAGAUGUGGCCUAUGAACGUAGAAAUCAUUAUUCAGAAAAUGUUUGUGCAGUGGAUGACACAGCAUCUGAGAGCAGCUCAUCUUUGCAAGAUCAGGAUCCCUAUGAUGCUGAGCAUUCUGGGUAUCUAACACCUAAAGGAGCUCUGCCAACUAAAAGUCCCAAGUCUGCCUCAAACAUGAGAUAUAAACCAUCAGGCUAUCUUAAAGUAAAAGGGGAGAUAGAAAACCCUGUCAUAACUGCUGUUAAGAAGCAAUUAGGAAGAAAUUACCAAGAAGAUGGUCCGCUACUUGGUAUAGACUUUGAUCCGCUUCCUCCAGGUGCAUUUGAAAGUAAAAUCGUGGAUCUAUUUCAUGAAACAUACUACAUGGCAAAUCGUGGUCUUCACUCUCCUGAAAUUUCUGCUGUGAAAAGGCAACCCAGUCUUUCUGCUAGAUAUGAUUUGUAUAAUACCAAUUUCAAUCCCCAAGAUUCACACAUGGAAGGAGCAGACCUCUCUGAUUUCCAGGAUAAGAAAUCUCGCCAGCUUUCAAAGCAAAGGCCACCUUUGUACAGUCAUACCUUUCGAUUUCCUAACAGAAAUUCUCUGGAUUUGUACGAACGCUCUGUUGGAGAAGCAACUGCAUAUAAUAGCAAAGAGAAUCAUAGAGUUGGCAUCAAGCUUGGCCUUGAAGGGUUGAAAUCUGAUUCUGCAAGUUACCAUAGUGAUCACUAUGAUGGUAAACUUGCAGCAAACCCAAAAGACUCACUGUUGCAUGGCUAUGAUAAUGUCAAUUCAAAGAAUGUACUCAGUGAACAUGUAACACUUAAGCCUUCAAGCUUGAUCAGGAAUCCUUAUGUUUCUAUGGAUACUAAGGAUAGAGGAGGCCUAUCCAGUAGGAUGAUAAAGGAAAAGAAGUCUAGUGAAAAAAUAAAGGCAAGAAAACAAUGUGAUAAUCCAAAUGGACUAAGGAUGCUUUCGCAUGAGUUUUCUUUUAUGGAGAUCAUAGGCUGCAAAACGUCGUGUUGAUCCACCUCAACAAUACAAUGUUAAAGAAGAAUUUGUUGCCGAGAUGCAACUGCAUAAAAGUCAGAGAUCUGCCAUGGAGGUGUCAUCUAGCUUCAGUGAGGAUGAAACUGCCAAUCUCAGCUCGUCUCUCGAUGAAGCAAUCGGUUGCCAUUAACCGGUAGAUAGGGUUUUUUGAGUGGGAGGUUUUUCUAUGUCAUGCCAUGGAUAUGUACAGUGAGUGAGCUGAGAAGCACUCUUUGUAGCCAGCGAGAGCAGUCACAUUGAAGUAUUGUAUCUGUGUGAUGUUUCUGGUAAGGGCCUGUUUGCCAUUGUACAAAAAGAACAAAGCCCGCCCUUAUUUAAGUGAUGAUGUAAAUCUCUUAAUCUGAAGUUGAUUGUGCUAGGAGGUUUUGAAAUGCAUCUUAGUUUGGUUCCA